UACGGGGGGGCAAGCGUUGUUCGGAAUUACUGGGCGUAAAGGGCUCGUAGGCGGCCAACUAAGUCAAACGUGAAAUCCCUCGGCUCAACCGGGGAACUGCGUGUGAUACUGGCGGGCUUGAAUUCGGGAGAGGGAUGUGGAAUUCCAGGUGUAGCGGUGAAAUGCGUAGAUAUCUGGAGGAACACCGGUGGCGAAGGCGGCAUCCUGGACCGAGAUUGACGCUGAGGCGCGAAAGCUAGGGGAGCAAACGGG
rnacentral:rRNA from 1 species